rnacentral:rRNA from 1 species
GCGCACCAGGCGCGAAUCUUCGGCAAUGGGCGCAAGCCUGACCGAGCGACGCCGCGUGCGGGAUGAAGGCCUUCGGGUUGUAAACCGCUGUCAGAGGGGAGGAAAUCACGGUGGGGCUCUCCCUGCGUGUUGACCUAUCCUCAGGAGGAAGGACGGGCUAAGUUCGUGCCAGCAGCCGCGGUAAGACGAACCGUCCAAACGUUAUUCGGAAUCACUGGGCUUAAAGGGUGCGUAGGCGGCCGUGCAAGUCGGGU